rnacentral:rRNA from 1 species
GACGAACGCUGGCGGCGUGCUUAACACAUGCAAGUCGAACGAAGUGGCGAACGGGUGAGUAAUACGUUGGUAACCUGCCCUCCUUUUUGGGAUAAGCCUUGGAAACGGGGUCUAAUACCGUAUAAAGGGGGAUGGGCUCGCGGCCUAUCAGCUUGUUGGUGGGGUGAUGGCCUACCAAGGCGGUGACGGGUAGCCGGCCUGAGAGGGUGACCGGCCACAUGGGGACUGGGAGACGGCCCAGACUAAUACGGAGGGCAGCAGUGGGGGAGAGUGCAGAAGGGGGGAGAGCCUGAUGCGGCGACGCCGCGUGGGGGAUGAAGGCUUUGGGGUUGGAAACCUCUUUCGCUAUGGAACGGGUAGCUGGAGAAGGAGCGCCGGCUAACUGCGUGCCAGCAGCCGCGGUAAUAC